rnacentral:rRNA from 1 species
UUAGUAAGUGCGACUGAAACGGGAUCAGCCCCAGCGCAUAAUCUCGCUCUCUUUCGAGUCAAAGGGAUGCCGAGAGGUGUUGCGUUUCGGAAGGUCGUAUCAUUCGCCGCCCCAACCGCCUAAGUUCCACUUGAAUGUGACCAAUGACCAUGGAGGGUGCCAGUCCCGUGUGGCGGAAUUGCAGUCCCCGACAGGGGGCACAGGGGCGGCGGCGUGGGCCUAUCCGCAGAGUCGGGUUGCUUGAUAAUGCAGCCCUAAGAAGGUGGUAAACUCCAUCUAAGGCUAAAUAUUCCCACGAGACCGAUAGCGAACAAGUACCAUGAGGGAAAGUUGAAAAGGACUUUGAAGAGAGAGUUCAAGAGUACGUGAAACCGUUAAGAGGUAAACGGAUGGUCCCUGUAGGCCGAACAGAGGGGAUUCAGCAGGUCGGCAGUCCGGUGGGAUGCGGGGUCUGAGAAUAAUUGAAUACCUUAAGUGACCCGCCGCGCUCUCGGGGUAAAAGCCGAGGGGUCAGCGACUGGCACGCUCCGCUCCCAACCUCGGGCGCCGGCACAGGCGUAUUUCCGCCUCCUAGUAGCUCACCGCGACUCGUUGCUCGGGGAUGUCCAUGGCCCGGUUGGAUUGGUACCCUUCGGGGGAAACCUCCGGUGAAUUUCCUGACAGCCCUGCGACGGUCAAAAAGUGGCAGAGCAGCUCGGCGUACACGAGAAGGGGAGUCCCGUGGGCCGGGAGCCUGAAGAGGACGCCCGUCGCCCAUCACGGACGAUCCCCGUAAGUCGUCUUGCAGCAGGGCUCUUGCGGUGUUACACGAACAGAGGACCAACCGACCCGUCUUGAAACACGGACCAAGGA